CCUCCGAUAGCUCGAGCGGUAGAGCACUGGGUGAUUUUAUAGGCUGCAUAUUGAUUGAUGCGUAGCCCAGAGAUGCUGGUUCGAGUCCAGCUCGGAGGA